rnacentral:rRNA from 1 species
UACGUAGGGUGCAAGCGUUAAUCGGAAUUACUGGGCGUAAAGCGUGCGCAGGCGGUUUUGUAAGUCAGAUGUGAAGUCCCCGGGCUUAACCUGGGAACUGCGUUUGAAACUACAAGGCUAGAGUGCGGCAGAGGGGGGUGGAAUUCCACGUGUAGCAGUGAAAUGCGUAGAGAUGUGGAGGAACACCGAUGGCGAAGGCAGCCCCCUGGGUUAACACUGACGCUCAGGCACGAAAGCGUGGGGAGCAAACAGG